GGAGAGGUCGCAUAGCGGUCGAGUGCAGCAGUUUACUAAACUGCCGUUCCGGGCAACUGGACCGUGGGUUCGAAUCCCACCCUCUCCG
rnacentral:tRNA from 1 species